GAGGCUUUAGCUUAAUUAAAGUAUCUGAUUUGCAUUCAGAAGAUGCGGGUUAAUGUCCUGUAGGUCUUA
rnacentral:tRNA from 1 species